rnacentral:rRNA from 1 species
AUGGCGGCAGGCGGCCUCCCCAGCCCGCCGUCGGCGCCGCCGCCGCUGUCGCCGAUCGAUCUGGACGAUCUCCUCACGGAGAUCCUCCUCCGCCUCCCUCCUUUGCCGUCUUCGCUUCCCCGCGCCUCCGCCGUCUGCAGGCGGUGGCGCCUCCUCGUCUGCAGGCGGUGGCGCCUCCUCGUCUGCGACCCCGUCUUCUUCCGCCGGUUCUGCCUGCACAACCGCCGCAGCCCUCCCAUGCUGGGCUUCUUCGUCGGCCGCCGCCCGCUCUGUUUUUCCCCCACGCUGGAGGUACCGAAUCGCGUCCCCAGGGAGCGCUUCAUCCUCGACAACGGCCGCGACGACAACGAAAUCAUCGAUUGCCGCCAUGGCUUCGUCCUAAUCCUCCUCGGGCACGGGGACCGGUUCCUGGUGUGGGAGCCCUUGACCGGCUUCCAGCAUCACAUCACCGCCCCCUCGUACUUCAGAGGCCUAGCACCGAUUCAUGGGGCGGUGCUUCGCCUUGCCUGGGAAGAUGAGCAGUUCCAGGUGGUCCUGAUAGGCCUUGAGGGCGCGCGCGCAAACGCGCUCUUCUAUUCCUCCAAGAACAUGGUAUGGAAGAAACUCGUCUCUCCCUCACUUCCAGGGAAGGAUCCAUCCAGUGGUCCUCCUACCAUAUCUUUCAGGAAUUCCCCACCUGUGCUAGUUGGAAACUCUAUUCACUGGCUAGUGUAUGAUAGAUUGAGUCUGUCUGAUGUUAUGGAUGGAGUUCGCUUAUCAAAUAGCUUGGCUGCGUUUGACGUUAGCACACAUAAUCUGUCUGUUGCACGGGUAGUAGGUGACAUAAACAACAUGACUGAUUAUCAGAUCUUGGCAAUACCAGAAGAGAGCGCUGUCAGUUUGCUCACACUGUCAGGCCUACGUGUGGAUAUCUGGAGGAGGAUUACUGACUGUGAUGCAAACAAUUGCUGGGUCAUAACAAGGAGCAUCGACCUAAAUAUUCGACUCCCAAUUGAUCCACAGAGACACGCGGGGCGUGUAAUCAUUCGAGGGCUUGCAGAGUACAACAGGAUGCUGCUGUUAUCUUCUGCCAGCCGCGUCUUCGCCUUGCAGCUGGAUACAAUUCAUUACGACAAAUUUCGUGACUCUGGUUGCUGGUACCAUCCCUUCGAAAGUUAUUGUCGCCCAGAUCCUUCGAUGCAUAUGGCCUGCCCUGGUUCCAUCAAGCCAGAGGAAUACCAAACUGCAAAGGCUGCUCUUGAAGUGGGUUCUUCCUGCAUAUCUGGUGACUCGAGGUUUACUCGUCUGAUGAAGGAGUGUGAUGAUCGUAUUGCUGAGGAGGCUAGCCAGGUUCUGGUCACGACAUUUUCAGAGUCUACAACUGUGGCUACUGCUACGGAGGACCAGGAUGGUGCAAAUCUGGAGAAGACACAGCUUACGGUAGAAAUGCCAAAAGAAAGCCCAAAUACAGGCAUAUUGGAUGUAAUAAGAUCUUAUAUUAUGGGACGGAGGGAGUAG